rnacentral:rRNA from 1 species
GACGAACGCUGGCGGCGUGCUUAACACAUGCAAGUCGAACGGAAAGGCGCUGCUUGCAGGGUACUCGAGUGGCGAACGGGUGAGUAACACGCGGGUGAUCUGCCCAGCACUUCGGGAUAAGUCUGGGAAACUGGGUCUAACACAGGACAGGAGAUAUAUUUAGUGUGAUGGUUGGAAAGUUUAUUCGGUGUAGGAUGAGUUUGCUGGGUAUCGGCUUGCUGGUGGGGCAAUGUGGUACCGAGGCGGCGACGGGUAGCCGGCCUGCGUGGGUGGACGGCGAGAUAGAGACUGACGGAAGGCACAGGCUCCGACGGGAGGGAGCAGUGGGGAAGAUUGAAGAAGGAGCGCAAGCCGGAUGCUGCGACGCCGCGUAGGGGAUGACUGUCUUCGGGUUGAAGACUCACUGCGCUAGGGACGAAGCAUUUUGUGACGGUACCUAGACAAGAAGCACCGGCUAACUACGUG